rnacentral:lncRNA from 1 species
UAUUUUCCUUUUUAGUCCGUUUAAAAAAGAAUGACCCUUUUCCUUUUUUGGCAAUACUUUAAUUUCAACUUUCCGCAUGGCAUGUUUAUGACCACAAGAUUAAAAGGCAUUUUGGUACAUUUGACACUACUUUAAUUUAAGGCCACAAGAUUCAAAAGUCUUCUUUAUUUUCUUAAACUUUGUGUCAAGUCAAAGUAGGUCAUUCCUUUUUAAACGGAGGGAG